AGCAGCAGGUGAGAAGAACAAAUCCGUACACCUGCCGGGAGACUAUGACGGUUGAGCAAGUUCAAGAUGGUGGUGGCUCAUCCCCAAGGGGGAAGGAUUAGACAGAUGCUCAGUGUGUAGAGUGAAUAGGGCAGGUAGAAAAGCAAUCGAAUCAGCUGGGGGAGGGAAAGACAGAAAGAAGCCAGUGACACUUUCCUUGUGGACAGCAUUCACAUAUUACUCUGUUCCUUUCUGGAUUAAGUCUCAAAACAUGAUAUAGGCCAAAGGACUUAUAAAACCACUUCCUUGACUUCAGCAAAUAUUUCUAAUAUCAAGUGUUUUUAACGUUCAACGGAUAUUGGACAUUCCACAUUCAACAUCAACGGAUGUUCAACAUUCAAACGGAUCUAGGUUUGUGUUGCCCUUUCUGUAAGUAAAGGCCUCAUGGAAGAAAAGUAAAAUACUUUUGAUUGUUGUCAGAGGACCCUCACAACACACACAAUUAAACUAGCUUUACAUUCUCUUGCAUUCCCAUCUUUACAGUUAUAUUUAACUUUGUAGGGAUGAGUCAGAGCCUCACACGUGGUUGUACCGACUACACCACACAGCCACGCUCUGCCAGGACAACAGCUCUGGAAAGGGCAUCACUGAUUUACUUUCGUGGUUGUUUAAAUUAACUGUAAAAGAUGAUAUGGUUCUUCAGCACUAUUGAGUAAUGUUGCUCAGACUUUGCUUGGGUGUCACUCAACUUCUACAAUAACAUCACUAGACAAAUGACUUACUUCUAGCCUAAAUAAUGGCUAAUACGAUGAAAAUGCCAUUUCCUCAGUCAUAUAGACAAAAUAUUCAAGAUUGAAUAAAUAUUAAUUGAGUCUUUGAGUGCACUGAGAUCAAGUUAUUCAUGCAAAGGUAAGAAUGGCCAACCUAAGUGGAGCGAUUCCUUAAUGCCGGGCACCAAACUAAGAAUUUCACACAUGUUAACUCAUUUACUUCUCACAAAAAUGUAGAUGGUAUUUUUUUUUAAUAUUUUUAAUUUGACAGAGAGAGAGAGAGAGAGAGAGAGAGAAUCCGAAGCAGGCUCCAGGCUCUGAGCUGUCAGCACAGAGCCCGACACGGGGCUCAAACUCAUGAACCAUGAGAUCAUAACCGGAGCCGAAGUCAGACGCUUAACCAACUGAGCCACCCAGGUGCCCCUGGGCAAUAAUAUUUAGAUCUUUAUUUUGUGGAUGAGAAGUGAAGAUCUAGAAUUUAAUUGUCCUGCCCAAAGUCAAAAGCUAGGAAGCUAUGGAGAGAGCAUUCAAAGCAACCAUCCUGCUUUGACAGCCUACAUUACCAGAAAAACACAGAGCUUCUCCAUGGAGAAUCACUCCUCUGCCCAGACAGGGAAAGCAAAGUUCCAAACGUAUAUCUGAAUGAGCACACCUUAAAAUAAUCCCAUUUAAUGUACAUAUACCAUGUCUCUUCCCUGGGAACGUCAACAUGAUAAAGAAGAUCAUCUAAAAUAGAGUAGCUGCCGCAACUCAAAUUAAGUCUAUUGCCAUUUGGUAGAUAACCUUCUUAUCAUGCAGAAAAAUACCAGGGCAGACAAAUGGAGCACACAGGAAAUGAGACCAUCAGCAAAGAAGAUAAAGAAGUUUGCACAAAGCACCUUUUUAUAAAUGGAUGGCUGUCAGUUAAAAAUCAAUUUCCCGUGGACAUGACUAAGAGCAAGCAAGAGGAAAGUAAACAUGUUUAAACU
rnacentral:lncRNA from 1 species